CUGCAGUGAAGGCACUUUAAGCA
rnacentral:miRNA from 1 species